rnacentral:rRNA from 1 species
CCUACGGGGCGCAGCAGUGGGGAAUAUUGCACAAUGGGCGAAAGCUUGAUGCAGCGACGCCGCGUGAGCGAAGAAGUAUUUCGGUAUGUAAAGCUCUAUCAGCAGGGAAGAAAAUGACGGUACCUGACUAAGAAGCCCCGGCUAACUACGUGCCAGCAGCCGCGGUAAUACGUAGGGGGCAAGCGUUAUCCGGAUUUACUGGGUGUAAAGGGAGCGUAGACGGCAGUGCAAGUCUGAAGUGAAAGCCUGGGGCUCAACCCCGGAACUGCUUUGGAAACUGUGCUGCUUGAGUACCGGAGGGGUAA